rnacentral:rRNA from 1 species
UCCAGACUCCUACGGGAGGCAGCAGUGAGGAAUAUUGGUCAAUGGUCGGGAGACUGAACCAGCCAAGCCGCGUGAGGGAAGACGGCCCUAUGGGUUGUAAACCUCUUUUGUCGGAGAACAAAACCCGGGACGAGUCCCGGACUGCGUGUAUCCGAAGAAAAAGCAUCGGCUAACUCCGUGCCAGCAGCCGCGGUAAUACGGAGGAUGCGAGCGUUAUCCGGAUUUAUUGGGUUUAAAGGGUGCGUAGGCGGGCUUUUAAGUCAGCGGUAAAAAUUCGGGGCUCAACCCCGUCCGGCCGUUGAAACUGGGGGCCUUGAGUGGGCGAGAAGAAGGCGGAAUGCGUGGUGUAGCGGUGAAAUGCAUAGAUAUCACGCAGAACCCCGAUUGCGAAGGCAGCCUUCCGGCGCCCUACUGACGCUGAGGCACGAAAGUGCGGGGAUCGAACAGGAUUAGAUACCCUAGUAAG